ACGGGUGAGUAACACGUAGGUAACCUGCCUUUAAGACUGGGAUAACUAUCGGAAACGAUAGCUAAGACCGGAUAACUGGUUUUCUCGCAUGAGAGAAUCAUAAAGCACGGAGCAAUCUGUGGCUUGAAGAUGGGCCUGCGGCGCAUUAGCUAGUUGGUGAGGUAACGGCUCACCAAGGCGACGAUGCGUAGCCGACCUGAGAGGGUGAACGGCCACACUGGGACUGAGACACGGCCCAGACUCCUACGGGAGGCAGCAGUAGGGAAUCUUCCGCAAUGGACGCAAGUCUGACGGAGCAACGCCGCGUGAGUGAUGAAGGUUUUCGGAUCGUAAAGCUCUGUUGCCCUAGACGAACAGCAAGGAGAGUAACUGCUCUUUGUGUGACGGUAUAGGAGAAGAAAGCCCCGGCUAACUACGUGCCAGCAGCCGCGGUAAUACGUAGGGGGCAAGCGUUGUCCGGAAUUAUUGGGCGUAAAGCGCGCGCAGGCGGUCAUUUAAGUCUGGUGUUUAAUCCUGGGGCUCAACCCCAGUUCGCAUCGGAAACUGGAUGACUUGAGUGUAGGAGAGGAAAGUGGAAUUCCACGUGUAGCG
rnacentral:rRNA from 1 species